ACCCAGCGGGCUCAGUAGGUGGAGCGCAUGACUCUUGAUCUCAGGGUCAUGAGUUUAAGCCCCAUGUUGGGUG
rnacentral:tRNA from 1 species